CGUACCUUUUGUAUAAUGGGUCAGCGACUUAUAUUCUGUAGCAAGGUUAACCGAAUAGGGGAGCCGGAGGGAAACCGAGUCUUAAUUGGGCGUUAAGUUGCAGGGUAUAGACCCGAAACCCGGUGAUCUAGCCAUGGGCAGGUUGAAGGUUGGGUAACACUAACUGGAGGACCGAACCGACUAAUGUUGAAAAAUUAGCGGAUGAUCUGUGGCUGGGGGUGAAAGGCCAAUCAAACCGGGAGAUAGCUGGUUCUCCCCGAAAGCUAUUUAGGUAGCGCCUCGUGAAUUCAUCUCCGGGGGUAGAGCACUGUUUCGGCUAGGGGGCCAUCCCGGCUUACCAACCCGAUGCAAACUGCGAAUACCGGAGAAUGUUAUCACGGGAGACACACGGCGGGUGCUAACGUCCGUCGUGAAGAGGGAAACAACCCAGACCGCCAGCUAAGGUCCCAAAGUCAUGGUUAAGUGGGAAACGAUGUGGGAAGGCCCAGACAGCCAGGAUGUUGGCUUAGAAGCAGCCAUCAUUUAAAGAAAGCGUAAUAGCUCACUGGUCGAGUCGGCCUGCGCGGAAGAUGUAACGGGGCUAAACCAUGCACCGAAGCUGCGGCAGCGAACGUAUCACCCAAGACAACUUUACGGAGUUGACGAUUGACGGAGCGAAGCGACGUCAAAGCGUUCAUUAAAGUCGAGUUGGCUUAGGGAUACGUUCGUUGGGUAGGGGAGCGUUCUGUAAGCCUGUGAAGGUGUGUCGUGAGGCAUGCUGGAGGUAUCAGAAGUGCGAAUGCUGACAUAAGUAACGAUAAAGCGGGUGAAAAGCCCGCUCGCCGGAAGACCAAGGGUUCCUGUCCAACGUUAAUCGGGGCAGGGUGAGUCGACCCCUAAGGCGAGGCCGAAAGGCGUAGUCGAUGGGAAACGGGUUAAUAUUCCCGUACUUGGUGUUACUGCGAAGGGGGGACGGAGAAGGCUAUGUUGGCCGGGCGACGGUUGUCCCGGUUUAAGCGUGUAGGUGUGUGUUCCAGGUAAAUCCGGUUCACUUUAACACUGAGGCGUGACGACGAGGCACUACGGUGCUGAAGCAACAAAUGCCCUGCUUCCAGGAAAAGCCUCUAAGCAUCAGGUAACAUCAAAUCGUACCCCAAACCGACACAGGUGGUCAGGUAGAGAAUACCAAGGCGCUUGAGAGAACUCGGGUGAAGGAACUAGGCAAAAUGGUGCCGUAACUUCGGGAGAAGGCACGCUGACACGUAGGUGAAGUGAUUUACUCAUGGAGCUGAAGUCAGUCGAAGAUACCAGCUGGCUGCAACUGUUUAUUAAAAACACAGCACUGUGCAAACACGAAAGUGGACGUAUACGGUGUGACGCCUGCCCGGUGCCGGAAGGUUAAUUGAUGGGGUCAGCGCAAGCGAAGCUCCUGAUCGAAGCCCCGGUAAACGGCGGCCGUAACUAUAACGGUCCUAAGGUAGCGAAAUUCCUUGUCGGGUAAGUUCCGACCUGCACGAAUGGCGUAAUGAUGGCCAGGCUGUCUCCACCCGAGACUCAGUGAAAUUGAACUCGCUGUGAAGAUGCAGUGUACCCGCGGCAAGACGGAAAGACCCCGUGAACCUUUACUAUAGCUUGACACUGAACAUUGAGCCUUGAUGUGUAGGAUAGGUGGGAGGCUUUGAAGUGUGGACGCCAGUCUGCAUGGAGCCGACCUUGAAAUACCACCCUUUAAUGUUUGAUGUUCUAACGUGGACCCGUAAUCCGGGUUGCGGACAGUGUCUGGUGGGUAGUUUGACUGGGGCGGUCUCCUCCUAAAGAGUAACGGAGGAGCACGAAGGUUGGCUAAUCCUGGUCGGACAUCAGGAGGUUAGUGCAAUGGCAUAAGCCAGCUUGACUGCGAGCGUGACGGCGCGAGCAGGUGCGAAAGCAGGUCAUAGUGAUCCGGUGGUUCUGAAUGGAAGGGCCAUCGCUCAACGGAUAAAAGGUACUCCGGGGAUAACAGGCUGAUACCGCCCAAGAGUUCAUAUCGACGGCGGUGUUUGGCACCUCGAUGUCGGCUCAUCACAUCCUGGGGCUGAAGUAGGUCCCAAGGGUAUGGCUGUUCGCCAUUUAAAGUGGUACGCGAGCUGGGUUUAGAACGUCGUGAGACAGUUCGGUCCCUAUCUGCCGUGGGCGCUGGAGAACUGAGGGGGGCUGCUCCUAGUACGAGAGGACCGGAGUGGACGCAUCACUGGUGUUCGGGUUGUCAUGCCAAUGGCACUGCCCGGUAGCUAAAUGCGGAAGAGAUAAGUGCUGAAAGCAUCUAAGCACGAAACUUGCCCCGA
rnacentral:rRNA from 1 species